AUUGAACGCUGGCGGCAUGCCUUACACAUGCAAGUCGAACGGCAGCACGGGUGCUUGCACCUGGUGGCGAGUGGCGAACGGGUGAGUAAUACAUCGGAACGUACCUUAUCGUGGGGGAUAACGCAGCGAAAGCUGUGCUAAUACCGCAUACGCCCUGAGGGGGAAAGCGGGGGAUCGAAAGACCUCGCGCGAUUAGAGCGGCCGAUGCCUGAUUAGCUUGUUGGUGGGGUAAAAGCCCACCAAGGCGACGAUCAGUAGCUGGUCUGAGGGGACGAUCAGCCAAGCUGGGACUGAGACACGGCCCAGACUCCUACGGGAGGCAGCAGUGGGGAAUUUUGGACAAUGGGGGCAACCCUGAUCCAGCAAUGCCGCGUGAGUGAAGAAGGCCUUCGGGUUGUAAAGCUCUUUUGUCAGGGAAGAAACACCGGCUCUAACACAGUCCGGGAAUGACGGUACCUGAAGAAUAAGCACCGGCUAACUACGUGCCAGCAGCCGCCGUAA
rnacentral:rRNA from 1 species